rnacentral:rRNA from 1 species
AUUGAACGCUGGCGGCAUGCUUUACACAUGCAAGUCGAACGGCAGCGCGGGCUUCGGCCUGGCGGCGAGUGGCGAACGGGUGAGUAAUGCAUCGGAACGUGCCCAGUAGUGGGGGAUAGCCCGGCGAAAGCCGGAUUAAUACCGCAUACGACCUGAGGGUGAAAGCGGGGGACCGAAAGGCCUCGCGCUAUUGGAGCGGCCGAUGUCGGAUUAGCUAGUUGGUGGGGUAAAGGCUUACCAAGGCGACGAUCCGUAGCUGGUCUGAGAGGACGACCAGCCACACUGGGACUGGGACACGGCCCAGACUCCUACGGGAGGCAGCAGUGGGAAUUUUGGACAAUGGGGGCAACCCUGAUCCAGCCAUGCCGCGUGCGGGAAGAAGGCCUUCGGGUUGUAAACCGCUUUUGUUCGGGAAGAAAUCCUCUGGGCUAAUACCCCGGGGGGAUGACGGUACCGGAAGAAUAAGCACCGGCUAACUACGUG